AACGUAGGUACCGAGCGUUAUCCGGAUUUACUGGGCGUAAAGCGCGUUCAGGCGGUUUGGCAAGUCGGGCAUGAAAUCUCUCGGCUCAACCGGGAGAGGUUGUCCGAUACUUCCAGACUUGAGGGCAGUAGAGGGUGGUGGAAUUCCGGGUGUAGUGGUGAAAUUCGUAGAUAUUCGCAAGAACACCAGUGGCGAAGGCGGCUCACUGGCCCGGUACUGACGCUGAGGUGCGAAAGCGUGGGGAGCAAACAGG
rnacentral:rRNA from 1 species